AUUGUAGUCUGCAACCCGACUACAUGAAGCCGGAAUCGCUAGUAAUCGCGAAUCAGCAUGCCGCGGUGAAUACGUUCCCGGGCCUUGUACACACCGCCCGUCACACCAUGAGAGCCGGGAACACCCGAAGUCCGUAGUCUAACCGCAAGGAGGACGCGGCCGAAGGUGGGUUUGGUAAUUGGAGUGAAGUCGUAACAAGGUAGC
rnacentral:rRNA from 1 species